ACUUCUCUGGCAGACUAACAUGCAAUAAAUUUAGAAUUUAUAGAUACAAACCAGUGGGAAGCAAACA
rnacentral:tRNA from 1 species